AUAAUACUCCAUAGAUUAGAGACACUGGAAUGUUCUUUAGUCGAAAGUUCUGGCGCCUUAGGAUGGAUCUGCGGUCGAUUAGGUUGUUGUUGGGGUAACGGCCCAACAAGCCUGUAAUCGAUACGGGUUGUGGGAGCAAGAGCCCGGAGAUGGAAUCUGAGACACGAUUCCAGGCCCUACGGGGCGCAGCAGGCGCGAAAACUUUACAAUGCAGGAAACUGUGAUAAGGGAACUCCGAGUGCCCGUAUACGCGGGCUGUCCAGGUGUUUAAAAAUCAUCUGAAGAAAGGGCCGGGCGAGACCGGUGCCAGCCGCCGCGGUAAUACCGGCGGCUCGAGUGGUGGCCACUAUUAUUGGGCUUAAAGCGUCCGUAGCUGGACCGAUAAGUCUCUUGGGAAAUCCGCCGGCUCAACCGGCGGGCGUCUAAGGGAUACUGUUAGUCUAGGGACCGGGAGAGGUGAGAGGUACUCCGGGGGUAGGAGUGAAAUCCUGUAAUCCCCGGGGGACCACCGAUGGCGAAGGCAUCUCACCAGAACGGCUCCGACAGUGAGGGACGAAAGCUGGGGGAGCGAACCGGAUUAAAUACCCGGGUAGUCCCAGCCGUAAACGAUGUGCGUUAGGUGU
rnacentral:rRNA from 1 species